GAUACAGAAGUGACAAGGGUGGAACAAAAGUGACUGUGUUGAGCAUUGAUCAUGGCAUCAACAUGGGACAACUUGUUGACCGGACUGGGAUAUAAUCCAAAGGGCUUUAGUGUUGUCAAACACUAUGAUGAUGACUAUGAUGAUGAUGACAAUAGAAAUUAUGAGAUUGGAGAUCUCUUUAUCGUGAAAACAAAAUUCAAAUGCCUCUAUCAUACUGGCGUGUGCUAUGAUGAAGAUCUGAUUGUUCAUUUCAUAAUGAAUCACAGUCCAAAUGAGAGUGGGCACAGCUCAAGUAGAUCAUUUACACUCUCUUCCAGUUCCAGUCCAGGUCAUAUAGAAAUUGUGCCUGUGGAAUUGUUUUCUGGAGGAGAAAAAUGUACAAUUUACAGGAAGAAUGAUGAAAUCGAUGUAAAAACAUUUAAAGCGUUAAAAUGUUAGAAAACGAAUGAAGGAAAAACCAGAGUAUAAUCUUUGGAGCUCCAACUGCAUUCAUUUUGCCAUGGGCUGUCUUGGGCUGAAGGCAAAGAAGUGUUGAUCUUAAACAAUCUUGUUUUAAGUCAGUAAUCCUGAUUAACUGACUGGAUGCUGUUGCUGUUGGACGGACAGACGGGUCACACCUCUGACGACGAUAGAGUAGAUUUCAUUCUGUUUCACAUGUUGAUGGGUUUCAUCAACAUUAUUUCUGCUGUAUUUGAUCUACAAAAACAAUAAAUUUCAUUUGACUAUUA